rnacentral:lncRNA from 1 species
GGUUACUGCUUUAUAGACUAAUCCCAGCCUCUAUGAGGCCGUUGGCUCUGCUGGGAGCUAGACCUGGGAUAGGAGUGGGGAGGGAGAAGCGACUUCUUGUUUUCCCCUUUGGUCUGGGCUAAGAAGUACUAGAAGGCUGGUUAGCUACGGGGCAAGGGACAGAAAGACGAGCCGUGGGUGGAGUAGGGGGAGUGGAGGUGGACGAAGGAAGCCAGCCUACGAGGUUGAGAAGCUGGAAGCCUCCGGAAAUCUGACAGACUGAGGAUCCAGAGCUUUUCUGCCUACUGGAUCCCACUUCUUCUUGAGUCCCAGAAGCUCGGCUCACCUCCAGCUCCUGAGGCCAGGAAGAUACAGGAAAGGACCCUCUCUUCCUUUCAACUUUCCCUACAGUCUCUUUCUCCUCCACCUCCACCCCCUGUCCUUCACCCCGCUUCUCCUGUACUGUUUCCCUCCCUCCUAAAGGCUUUUGGAUUUAAUUCGGAGAAAGGAAUGUGGAGCACAAAUUUCUGUUUGUUGGUGAUCUGCCUCGACGAGGGUGAGGGGAGGUAGCAGCUGAGGGGAAGAAAAUUGUACAUGCCGUGAAGAAGACUGCAAAAGUUAUUUCGAUACCAUUUCAAAUACAAGAAAAGAUACAAGGAGUUUGCUUUAAAGGACCUUCAUUAUAUUUCCCCAGCACGUAUCCUAUUGCAGCUGUUAGGUAAAAGGCAGUGAAGCUGCCAGGAAUGGCUUUGUCAUAACCACUUUUCUACCCCCAAUGAAGCUUUUUUUUUAAAUCCCUUUCAGAAAGAAAUACACACCUGGUUGGCUGUCUUUGAUAUAUUUUAUAAACCAGGAAGAAAUAAGUUGAAUGGAGCCUCUGCAGAACUUCCUUUCAGACACAAAUGAAAGACAAGUUUAAUAUAAUAUUCUGCUAAUCCCUUUUGCCUUUUGAAUUAGAAUAAGUUUGUUCUUCUAUAUCAUUUGAUUGUACAUCCUGCCAUUUGACUGCAGCAAUAAGUAAAAUGACCUGUAAUAAAAGUGUUUUGAAGACGUGUAUUAAAUGUAAU